rnacentral:rRNA from 1 species
AUUGGACGCUGGCGGCAUGCCUUACACAUGCAAGUCGAACGGCAGCACGGGUGCUUGCACCUGGUGGCGAGUGGCGAACGGGUGAGUAAUACAUCGGAACGUACCUUAUCGUGGGGGAUAACGCAGCGAAAGCUGUGCUAAUACCGCAUACGCCCUGAGGGGGAAAGCGGGGGAUCGCAAGACCUCGCGCGAUUAGAGCGGCCGAUGCCUGAUUAGCUUGUUGGUGGGGUAAAAGCCCACCAAGGCGACGAUCAGUAGCUGGGCUGAGAGGACGAUCAGCCACACUGGGACUGGGACACGGCCCAGACGCCUACGGGAGGCAGCAGUGGGGAAUUUUGGACAAUGGGGGCAACCCUGAUCCAGCAAUGCCGCGUGAGUGAAGAAGGCCUUCGGGUUGUAAAGCUCUUUUGUCAGGGAAGAAACACCGGCUCUAACACAGUCCGGGAAUGACGGUACCUGAAGAAUAAGCACCGGCUAACUACGUGCCAGCCGCCGCAGUAA